rnacentral:rRNA from 1 species
CCUACGUGAGGCAGCAGUGAGGAAUAUUGGUCAAUGGUCGGGAGACUGAACCAGCCAAGCCGCGUGAGGGAGGAAGGUACAGAGGAUCGUAAACCUCUUUUGUCAGGGAACAAAGGCGGGGACGUGUCCCCGGAUGAGUGUACCUGAAGAAAAAGCAUCGGCUAACUCCGUGCCAGCAGCCGCGGUAAUACGGAGGAUGCGAGCGUUAUCCGGAUUUAUUGGGUUAAAAGGGUGCGCAGGCGGUCUGUGAAGUCAGCGGUCAAAGCCCGGGGCUCACCCCCGGCCCGCCGUUGAAACUGGCAGUCUCGAGUUGGCGAGAAGUAUGCGGAAUGCGCGUUGUAGCGGUGCAAUG